rnacentral:rRNA from 1 species
CGGUCUGUCAAAGUGGAAUGUUAAAUCCCGGGGCUUAACUUGGAACUGCAUUCGAAACUGGCAGGCUAAAGUCUUGUAAGGGGGUAGAAUUCCAGGUGUANCGUUGAAAUGCGUAGAGAUCUGGAGGAAUCCCGGUGGCGAAGNCGGCCCCCUGGACAAAGACUGACGCUCAGGUGCGAAAGCGUGGGGAGCAACCAGGAUUAGAUACCCUGGUAGUCCACGCCGUAAACGAUGUCGACUUGGAGGUUGUUCCCUUGAGGCGUGGCUUCCGGAGCUAACGCGUUAAGUCGACCGCCUGGGGAGUACGGCCGCAAGGUUAAAACUCAAAUGAAUUGACGGGGGCCCGCACAAGCGGUGGAGCAUGUGGUUUAAUUCGAUGCAACGCGAAGAACCUUACCUACUCUUGACAUCCAGAGAACUUAGCAGAGAUGCUUUGGUGCCUUCGGGAACUCUGAGACAGGUGCUGCAUGGCUGUCGUCAGCUCGUGUUGUGAAAUGUUGGGUUAAGUCCCGCAACGAGCGCAACCCUUAUCCUUUGUUGCCAGCGGUCCGGCCGGGAACUCAAAGGAGACUGCCAGUGAUAAACUGGAGGAAGGUGGGGAUGACGUCAAGUCAUCAUGGCCCUUACGAGUAGGGCUACACACGUGCUACAAUGGCGCAUACAAAGAGAAGCGACCUCGCGAGAGCAAGCGGACCUCAUAAAGUGCGUCGUAGUCCGGAUUGGAGUCUGCAACUCGACUCCAUGAAGUCGGAAUCGCUAGUAAUCGUAGAUCAGAAUGCUACGGUGAAUA